rnacentral:rRNA from 1 species
GACGAACGCUGGCGGCGUGCUUAACACAUGCAAGUCGAACGGAAAGGCCCUGCUUUUGUGGGUUGCUCGAGUGGCGAACGGGUGAGUAACACGUGAGUAACCUGCCCUUGACUUUGGGAUAACUUCAGGAAACUGGGGCUAAUACCGGAUAGGAGCUCCUGCUGCAUGGUGGGGGUUGGAAAGUUUCGGCGGUUGGGGAUGGACUCGCGGCUUAUCAGCUUGUUGGUGGGGUAGUGGCUUACCAAGGCUUUGACGGGUAGCCGGCCUGAGAGGGUGAACGGCCACAUGGGGACUGAGAUAGGGACCAGAAUGCUACGGGAGGCAGCAGUGGGGAAUAUUGCACAAUGGGCGGAAGCCUGAUGCAGCAACGCCGCGUGCGGGAUGACGGCCUUCGGGUUGUAAACCGCUUUCGCCUGUGACGAAGAGUGAGUGACGGUAAUGGGUAAAGAAGCACCGGCUAACUACGUG